UACAGAGGUGCCAAGCGUUAGGCGGAAUCACUGGGCUUAAAGCGCGUGUAGGUGGACGGGUAAGUAUCUUGUGAAAUCCCACGGCUCAACCGUGGAACUGCUGGAUAUACUGCUUGUCUUGAGGCACUUAGGGGCAGCUGGAACAAAUGGUGGAGCGGUGAAAUGCGUAGAUAUCAUUUGGAACGCCAAAGGCGAAAGCAGGCUGCUGGGAGUGAUCUGACACUGAGACGCGAAAGCCAGGGGAGCAAAC
rnacentral:rRNA from 1 species